rnacentral:rRNA from 1 species
UACGGGGGGAGCAAGCGUUGUUCGGAUUUACUGGGCGUAAAGGGCGCGUAGGCGGCCUCUGCAAGUCGACUGUGAAAUCUCCGGGCUUAACCCGGAAGGUCAGCCGAUACUGCAGGGCUAGAGUGCAGAAGGGGCAACUGGAAUUCUCGGUGUAGCGGUGAAAUGCGUAGAUAUCGAGAGGAACACCUGCGGCGAAGGCGGGUUGCUGGGCUGACACUGACGCUGACAGCGCGAAAGCUAGGGGAGCGAACGGG